rnacentral:lncRNA from 1 species
AUGGCUUCCAGUCUUGUGGUGAAACCUCAGAUGCGUAGCCUCCUGGCCAAGCGUCUGCAAUUUCAUGUUGUUGGAGCAUUCGUUGAAUACCUGGGAGUUGCAGCUCUCUGUAAGUUUGAUGUGGCUGAACCAAGAAAAAAAGCACACGAUUUCUACAGAUAUUAUGAUGCCGUCAAAGAUUUUGAGGUGAUGAGGAAGGCUGGCAUCUUUCAGAGUGCAAAG